rnacentral:rRNA from 1 species
UACGGAGGGUGCUAGCGUUGUUCGGAAUUACUGGGCGUAAAGGGCGCGUAGGCGGCCGUUUGCGUCGGAUGUGAAAGCCCGGGGCUCAACCUCGGAACGGCAUUCGAUACGGGACGGCUGGAGACCGGGAGAGGAGAGUGGAAUAGCCAGUGUAGAGGUGAAAUUCGUAGAUAUUGGCUGGAACACCGGUGGCGAAAGCGGCUCUCUGGCCCGGUUCUGACGCUGAGGCGCGAAAGCGUGGGGAGCAAAAGGG